GCAAGUCGAGCGAACUCUUCGGAGAUAGCGGCGGACGGGUUAGUAACGCGUGGGAACGUACCCUUUGCUACGGAACAACAGUUGGAAACGACUGCUAAUACCGUAUGAGCCCUACGGGGGAAAGAUUUAUCGGCAAAGGAUCGGCCCGCGUUGGAUUAGGUAGUUGGUGAGGUAACGGCUCACCAAGCCUACGAUCCAUAGCUGGUUUGAGAGGAUGAUC
rnacentral:rRNA from 1 species